ACGGUGAGUAAUACAUCGGAACGUGCCUAGUAGUGGGGGAUAACUACUCGAAAGAGUGGCUAAUACCGCAUGAGAUCUAUGGAUGAAAGCAGGGGACCUUCGGGCCUUGUGCUACUAGAGCGGCCGAUGGCAGAUUAGGUAGUUGGUGGGAUAAAAGCUUACCAAGCCUACGAUCUGUAGCUGGUCUGAGAGGACGAUCAGCCACACUGGGACUGAGACACGGCCCAGACUCCUACGGGAGGCAGCAGUGGGGAAUUUUGGACAAUGGGCGCAAGCCUGAUCCAGCAAUGCCGCGUGCAGGAUGAAGGCCUUCGGGUUGUAAACUGCUUUUGUACGGAACGAAAAGUCUUGGGUUAAUACCCUGGGAUCAUGACGGUACCGUAAGAAUAAGCACCGGCUAACUACUG
rnacentral:rRNA from 1 species